UGAUGGCCACUGGAGGCUUACAUAAUCGUUAACUUCAGGGCCCGUGAGAUUAGUCGAAAUGCACGCAAGCGGACCCAGACACCCACAUUAAACUAAAAAAAAAAAUCCCUCUUGCAGAAUCCAAGCAGCCACAUUUCACAUUCAUGGUGAUUUACAUUUCUGGUUUUACAUAUUCGUGAAAACUCUUCCCUAAUCUCAAACCCCCCUUCUGCGAGCAAGCUGAACGAGCGGCUAUCAUAGUGAGCUCUUCUGGCUCUACAUUGCCCUCCACUGACAUCGAGUCAAAAAGCUUCCAGUCUCAUCCCAACAGUUACGCUUAGAAUACCCAUCAGUCAUAGACAGAAAAACCAUCUCUAGCAGGAAUUCCAUCAAACAAGUGUCAAGCCAAACCCAAACAACCACGCAGAUCAUAAAAACGAGCCAACCCAUCUUGAAACAACAUAGCAUAAACAAAACCCAUCUUUCGAAUACCACAAUGAACUGAUUUCCCUCCUAAAACUCUAAAAAACUGCUCGCCGCACACUUUGAGCGCAAGAACAAAGCUCCUACAGUGCAUUUCAGCGCCAUUUUGAAGCAUUUGGCAGAAAAACAAGAAGCCACUAUGGCCCAUUUUGGCUCCAGAGUAGCCUCUAAUCAUGGUAUUCCAAUUAUAAGUACUGGGGUUUUGUAUCUGCGAAAACAGAAGACGAGCAUGAUUUAUCUCUGCAGUGUGAGAGAAGGCAAAAGGCCAAGGCAAGACAAAGCUUGGGGGUAGAUUAGCCAGACUAUAAAGGAGAAGGACUUAUUUGUACUUGUUCCAAUAUUGUGAGUCAAAAUAAUACCGCUUCUUUUCCUUCAAACGCAAUCUCGUCCUACGUUCCAGGUAGUUCCCCAUUCUUUUUACCUAAUCUCUUAAUAUAUAUGAACGGCAUCUUUGCUUAAGCCCCUUCAAUUAUUGCUUUCGAAUAUUCUCAUGGUAUUUGCUCUUUGUUUUUGAGGAUCCAAUUAAUAAGCAAAUCAUGGAGACUUGGCUGUUGACCUCAACACUCUCGUCUGCAUUGACCGAAGCAUUGACCUCUUCAAUCUCUUGGAUGUGAACCAGGCUUGGAAUAUUGGGUGUUCUUGUUCUUGAUACAUGUAAAGAGGUUUGGGCCAAUUUUGAUGCCUUGUGUGAAUCCCUUCAUCUGGGCUUAUCAAAAGAGGAGGAGGAAAGAAGAACAGAGAUUGAAAAGGAAAAACCUGAAAGCUCACCCAAAUAUGUGGUACGCCAUAACACCAUCUCCAGCUUCUUUCAGAAGAGCAGUUCGAAGCAUUCGCAGAGCAGAAAAUAGUUUGGCCGACAGGUUCUGUCAUGUUAAAAGUUUAAUAGAUGGUCAGGGAUCUCAUCAAUCAUGAUGAAUGAAGAGAACAAAAACCCAAGACAUAAGCAUACCAAGUCCACUUCAGAUUGAGCUUGGGCAGGACUACCAGCUUGCGGAGGACUUAACUUCCCAGACAUGAGUGAGCCUUUUGCUGGAGUAGCCUCAGAUUUGCCCUGUUUUGAAGCUUUUACAGAGGAAGGGAAUCUACAAGGUGCAUGAGAUAGCAGAAUCAGCAUCCUACCUGUUCAUUUCAGCUAUGAAAAACAGAAAGGUUAAAUGAUGAUGGUUUGUCCAGAGGAUCAUAAUAUGUGAGGCUAAGCAAAGCACAAGGCUAAGCUUGCUGGCUUCAUCCAACUCUCGGCCUCCAUAUUUUACGCUUAGAAUACCCAUCAGUCAUAGACAGAAAAUCCAUCUCUAGCAGGAAUUCCAUCAAACAAGUGUCAAGCACCAAACAACCACGCAGAUCAUAAAAACGAGCCAACCCAUCUUGAAACAACAUCACGGAAACAAAACCCAUCUUUCGAAUAACACAAUGAACUGAUUUCCCUCAUAAAACUGCUCGCUCGCUUUGAGCGCAAGAACAAAGCUCCUACAGUCCAUUUGAGCGCCAUUCUGAAGCAUUUGGCAGAAAAACAAGAAGCCACUAUGGCCCAUUUUGGCUUUAGAGUAGCCUCUAAUCAUGGUAUUCCAAAUAUAAGUGCUGGGGUUUUGUAUCUGCGAAAACAGAAGACGAGCAUGAUUUAUACCUGCAGUGUGAGAGAGGGCAAAAGGCCAAGGCAAGACAAAGCUUGGGGGCAGAUUAGCCAGACUAUAAAGGAGAAGGACUUAUUUGUACUUGUUCCAAGAUUUUGAGUCAAAAUAAUACCGCUUCUUUUCCUUCAAACGCAAUCUCGUCCUACGUUCCGGUAAGCAAAUCAUGGAGACUUGGCUGUUGACCUCAACACUCUCGUCUGCAUUGACCGAAGCAUUGAACUCUUCAAUAUCUUGGAUGUGAACCAGAAUUGGAAUAUUGGGUGUUCUUGUUUUUGAUACAUGUAAAGAGGUUUGGGGCACUUAUGAUGCCUUCUGUGAAUCCCUCCAUCUGGGCUUAUCAAAAGAGGAGGAGGAACGAAGCAUGUGCUCUAAGUCCGCCCAAAGUUUCAUCCUGCAUUUUCUUGAGAUUUCUGCGAGGUUUUUGUUCGAAUAAGCAACAAGGUGCACGAUAUUGUUGAAGGGCAAGUCCUUCCAUGCCUGUCCAAAAUUUGAAGUCAUUUUCAAUUCAAGGUCCACAAUAUAUUUUUUUAUAAUAUAAUAAUGCUAGAAUUACGCUCGAUCUCUGCAGCAUGCAUCGAGUAAUUGCUUUUGGAUUUCGAGUUCCACUGAUUUGAAAUGCUCGGUGUCUGUGUUGCAUACAUGUAAUCCAAAGAUUUUUGCGAGGUUUGAAAAAUUUGCCACACCGGAUCACGUCUGUACCAUCGACAGAGACCGUCAGCGCUGUGGGCAAUGACGUUUCUACUCGGAGGAGGCUAUACGAUUUCUUUUUGACAGGCAGCGGUUUCUUAUCCUUGUUCUUUACGCUCGAUCUCCUCAGCACGCAUCGAGUAAUCGCGUUUGGAUUUCAAGUUCGACUGAUUUGAAAUGCUCGGUAGCCCAAAGAAUAAAUGGUAUCUGUGCCAUCGACCGAGACCGUCAGCACUAGGGGCGUGCAAUGACGUUUGACUCCGAGGAUAGAUAGUUUAGACAUCAAAAAAAAAAAAAAAACAUACUUAUCUUGUAAUCGGAAACAUGUUUGUUCGUUUUAUAUUUAUAUUUAUAUUUAUAUUCCAA